rnacentral:rRNA from 1 species
UCCCUCCCGACUGUUUACCAAAAACACAGCACUCUGCUAACUCGUAAGAGGAUGUAUAGGGUGUGACGCCUGCCCGGUGCUCGAAGGUUAAUUGAUGGGGUUAGCAUUAGCGAAGCUCUUGAUCGAAGCCCGAGUAAACGGCGGCCGUAACUAUAACGGUCCUAAGGUAGCGAAAUUCCUUGUCGGUUAAAUACCGACCUGCAUGAAUGGCGUAACGAGAUGGGAGCUGUCUCAAAGAGGGAUCCAGUGAAAUUGUAGUGGAGGUGAAAAUUCCUCCUACCCGCGGCAAGACGGAAAGACCCCGUGGACCUUUACUACAGCUUGACACUGCUACUUGGAUAAGAAUGUGCAGGAUAGGUGGGAGGCUUUGAGUAUAUGACGCCAGUUGUAUAUGAGCCAUUGUUGAGAUACCACUCUUUCUUAUUUGGGUAGCUAACCAGCUUGAGUUAUCCUCAAGUGGGACAAUGUCUGGUGGGUAGUUUGACUGGGGCGGUCGCCUCCCAAAUAAUAACGGAGGCUUACAAAGGUUGGCUCAGAACGGUUGGAAAUCGUUCGUAGAGUAUAAAGGUAUAAGCCAGCUUAACUGCAAGACAUACAAGUCAAGCAGAGACGAAAGUCGGUCUUAGUGAUCCGGUGGUUCUGUGUGGAAGGGCCAUCGCUCAAAGGAUAAAAGGUACCCCGGGGAUAACAGGCUGAUCUCCCCCAAGAGCUCACAUCGACGGGGAGGUUUGGCACCUCGAUGUCGGCUCAUCGCAUCCUGGGGCUGGAGCAGGUCCCAAGGGUAUGGCUGUUCGCCAUUUAAAGCGGUACGCGAGCUGGGUUCAGAACGUCGUGAGACAGUUCGGUCCCUAUCUGCCGUGGGCGUAAGAAGAUUGAAGAGAUUUGACCCUAGUACGAGAGGACCGGGUUGAACAAACCACUGGUGUAGCUGUUGUUCUGCCAAGAGCAUCGCAGCGUAGCUAAGUUUGGAAAGGAUAAACGCUGAAAGCAUCUAAGCGUGAAGCCAACUCUAAGAUGAAUCUUCUCUAAGCUCUCUAGAAGACUACUAGUUUGAUAGGCUGGGUGUGUAAUGGAUGAAAGUCCUUUAGCUGACCAGUACUAAUAGAGCGUUUGGCUUAUCUUUAAUAAAGCAU